rnacentral:sRNA from 12 species
UUGCGCCUGCGGUGGACGCAGCGGUGCACUUAUGAUCAUGUCUUGCAGGCGGCUGUGCUCCGUACCGUCUCGUGAACCGAAACUUUUCGGAUUCAAAAUCCUCCC